GGAAGGAUCAUUAACACAAAUAAAAAUCCACUGAUGGAGAAUUGUUGAAAGACUUUUCUCCAUCAUUAGGCACCGUGAAAAGUUAAAGUCUUUAACCACAUAAACCACUUUAGGGUGGCUUGUUGUGGUUCAAUACAAACUACUUUUAAAAAUGACUGAUAAAAAUGUAUCGACGAAGAUUUUUCAUUGUUUACUCAAUGGAGAAUUUGUAAUCGAGAAAUUGUAAUAACCAAAAUACAACUUUUAACAACGGAUAUCUUGGUUCUCGCAACGAUGACGAGCGCAGCGAAAUGCGAUACUUAGUGUGAAUUGCAGAAUUCAGUGAAUCAUCGAAAUCUUGAACGCAUAUUGCACCUACAGGUUCUCCUGUAGGUACAUCUGUUUGAGUGUCCUCUUUAUCUCACCCCACAACUAAAAUUGCGGGUGUGGAAUUUGAGCGUCGAGUGUUUAACCACAUUCCAGUCGCUUUAAAUACAUUAAGGUACCGACAGAAAGAGUCCAUCUCUGGUUCCAAAGUGGUGUAGUAGCAUACUUUAUUGUGUGAUUAUUCUCCUCGAUUAAAAUCAGGUUAAAGAUGAGUUUCAUUCGACUGGUCUAAAAAGGACAAAUUUUUUUUUCAAAAACUUGGACCUCAAAUCAGAUGAGAACACCCGCUGAACUUAAGCAUAUUAAUAAGCGGAGGAAAAGAAACUAACAAGGAUUCCCGUAGUAACUGCGAGUGAAGUGGGAAAAGCUCAAGCUUAAAAUCUGGGGCGGUCUACGUCUCCGAAUUGUAGUUUUGUGAACAGCUUUACGGAUAUGCUGCUGUAGUAUAAGUCUCCUGGAAAGGAGUGCCAAAGAAGGUGAUAGCCCUGUGCAUGACUACAGAGUCCCGGUGUAUCAAUACGUACUGCGAGUUCGUCGAGUCGGGUUGUUUGGGAGUACAGCCCAAAGUGGGAGGUAAAUUCCUUCUAAAGCUAAAUAAUGGCGAGAGACCGAUAGCGAACAAGUACCGUGAGGGAAAGAUGCAAAGAACUUUGAAAAGAGAGUUAAAAGUGCUUGAAAUUGUUAAAAGGGAAGCGAUUAGAAGCAGUACGUAUUUGCUAUCAACUCAUUUGUUGGUGGAGGAUUGGUAUGGUGUUGUGAGUAGUCCAUCGUGGCUAUCGCAGCAUUGUGUCCUGGUCUUUUAUCAAUGGAGCAUUUUGGUAGUAAAUGAGUCAACAUCAGUGAGAAGAGUGGGAGAAUGGUCUGAAGGAGGUGAUAUGCUAGUAGCUCUCGGGUUAUUAGUGUGUGUUAAACUUCGGAUAGAUACCACUGUUUUCACUGAGGCAACCUAGGUUGAUAACUGAUGCCUUCUUGGCGGAGUCUAGAUAGAACUGAGUUGUGUUAACGGUGGAGACAGCUUGCUGUGUCUGUUGCUUAAUGUGGUUCAUCACUGUCUACUACUAAUCAGUUAGAGAUGUUGACCGAAUGUUUUUAAUCGUCCCGUCUUGAAACACGGACCAAGGAGUCUAACAUAUGUGCGAGUGAAUGAGUGGUAAACUCGGUACGCGCAAUGAAAGUGAUUGGUGGGAGUUGUAAAAAACGCACCAUCGACCAAUCUUGAUAUUUUUGGAUAGAUUUGAGUUGGAGCAUAUAUGUUGGGACCCGAAAGAUUGCGAACUAUGCUUGCAUAGGGUGAAGCCAGGCGAAAGUCUGGUGGAGGCUCGUAGCGAUACUGACGUGCAAAUCGUUCGUCAAAUGUGUGUAUAGCGGCGAAAGACUAAUCGAGCAAUCUAGUAGCUGGUUUCCUC
rnacentral:misc_RNA from 1 species